GAUGAACGCUGGCGGCGUGCCUAAUACAUGCAAGUAGAACGCUGAAGGAAGGAGCUUGCUCUUUCCGGAUGAGUUGCGAACGGGUGAGUAACGCGUAGGUAACCUGCCUGGUAGCGGGGGAUAACUAUUGGAAACGAUAGCUAAUACCGCAUAACAGUAGAUGUUGCAUGAUAUCUACUUAAAAGGUGCAAUUGCACCACUACCAGAUGGACCUGCGUUGUAUUAGCUAGUUGGUGAGGUAACGGCUCACCAAGGCGACGAUACAUAGCCGACCUGAGAGGGUGAUCGGCCACACUGGGACUGAGACACGGCCCAGACUCCUACGGGAGGCAGCAGUAGGGAAUCUUCGGCAAUGGACGGAAGUCUGACCGAGCAACGCCGCGUGAGUGAAGAAGGUUUUCGGAUCGUAAAGCUCUGUUGUAAGAGAAGAACGAGUGUGAGAGUGGAAAGUUCACACUGUGACGGUAUCUUACCAGAAAGAGACGGCUAACUACGUG
rnacentral:rRNA from 1 species